CGGCGAACGGGUGAGUAACACGUGGGUAAUCAACCCUCGGUACUGGGAUAGCCCGGGGAAACCCGGAUUAAUACCGGAUGGCCCUUCGGAUCCUCGGAUCUGAAGGAAAAGGUAGCUUCGGCCUCCGACCGAGGACGAGCCCGCGGCGGAUUAGCUUGUUGGUGAGGUAACGGCUCACCAAGGCGACGAUCCGUAGCUGGUCUGAGAGGACGAUCAGCCACACUGGGACUGAGACACGGCCCAG
rnacentral:rRNA from 1 species